AGAGUUUGAUCAUGGCUCAGAUUGAACGCUGGCGGCAGGCCUAACACAUGCAAGUCGAGCGGAAACGAGAUAUCUGAACCUUCGGGGACCGAUAACGGCGUCGAGCGGCGGACGGGUGAGUAAUGCCUAGGAAAGUGCCCUGAUGUGGGGGAUAACCAUUGGAAACGAUGGCUAAUGCCGCAUGAUGCCUACGGGCCAAAGAGGGGGACCUUCGGGCCUCUCGCGUCAGGAUAUGCCUAGGUGGGAUUAGCUAGUUGGUGAGGUAAGGGCUCACCAAGGCGACGAUCCCUAGCUGGUCUGAGAGGAUGAUCAGCCACACUGGAACUGAGACACGGUCCAGACUCCUACGGGAGGCAGCAGUGGGGAAUAUUGCACAAUGGGCGCAAGCCUGAUGCAGCCAUGCCGCGUGUGUGAAGAAGGCCUUCGGGUUGUAAAGCACUUUCAGUCGUGAGGAAGGUAGUGUAGUUAAUAGCUGCAUUAUUUGACGUUAGCGACAGAAGAAGCACCGGCUAACUCCGUGCCAGCAGCCGCGGUAAUACGGAGGGUGCGAGCGUUAAUCGGAAUUACUGGGCGUAAAGCGCAUGCAGGUGGUUUGUUAAGUCAGAUGUGAAAGCCCGGGGCUCAACCUCGGAAUAGCAUUUGAAACUGGCAGACUAGAGUACUGUAGAGGGGGGUAGAAUUUCAGGUGUAGCGGUGAAAUGCGUAGAGAUCUGAAGGAAUACCGGUGGCGAAGGCGGCCCCCUGGACAGAUACUGACACUCAGAUGCGAAAGCGUGGGGAGCAAACAGGAUUAGAUACCCUGGUAGUCCACGCCGUAAACGAUGUCUACUUGGAGGUUGUGGCCUUGAGCCGUGGCUUUCGGAGCUAACGCGUUAAGUAGACCUUUUUUUGAGUACGGUCGCAAGAUUAAAACUCAAAUGAAUUGACGGGGGCCCGCACAAGCGGUGGAGCAUGUGGUUUAAUUCGUUGCAACUCGAAGAAC
rnacentral:rRNA from 1 species